rnacentral:ncRNA from 1 species
UCCCGGGUUAACAGGUUGUAAUACCCCUACUGCGUUUAACUACCCGGUAAAAGCAAAUGUGUAAUUAAAUAUAAAAACGUCCCAGUUGGUUCCUUAAUGAAAAGAAUGUAACUGGGACGCUUCUGUUUAUCUAUACACUU